rnacentral:misc_RNA from 1 species
AAGUCGUAACAAGGUAACCGUAGGUGAACCUGCGGUUGGAUCAUUAACAAAUCAAGGAGCCGGCUUGCCGGUAACUUAACACCUGUGCACCGUUUAUUGUCUCUGGUGGGCUAAUCCCCACUGUAACUUUGACCUUGAUAUACCUACGUCUUUAAAAAUUUGUUUUAACGAAAAAACAACUUUUGACAACGGAUCUCUAGGCUCUC